ACACGGAGGGUGCAAGCGUUAUCCGGAAUCAUUGGGUUUAAAGGGUCCGUAGGCGGACUAUUAAGUCAGAGGUGAAAUCCCACAGCUCAACUGUGGAACUGCCUUUGAUACUGGUAGUCUUGAGUUAUAUGGAAGUAGAUAGAAUGUGUAGUGUAGCGGUGAAAUGCAUAGAUAUUACACAGAAUACCGAUUGCGAAGGCAGUCUACUACGUAUAUACUGACGCUAAGGGACGAAAGCGUGGGGAGCGAACAGGAUUAGAUACCCUAGUAGUCC
rnacentral:rRNA from 1 species